GAAUAUUGGACAAUGGGCGAAAGCCUGAUCCAGCCAUGCCGCGUGAGUGAAGAAGGCCUUAGGGUUGUAAAGCUCUUUCGGCGGGGAAGAUAAUGACGGUACCCGCAGAAGAAGCCCCGGCUACCUCCGUGCCCGCAGCCGCGGUAAUACGGAGGGGGCUAGCGUUGUUCGGAUUUACUGGGCGUAAAGCGCGCGUAGGCGGGCUGUUAAGUCGGGGGUGAAAUCCUGGGGCUCAACCUCAGAAUUGCCUUCGAUACUGGCAGCCUUGAGUGCGAGAGAGGUGAGUGGAAUUCCCAGUGUAGAGGUGAAAUUCGUAGAUAUUGGGAAGAACACCAGUGGCGAAGGCGGCUCACUGGCUCGUAACUGACGCUGAGGUGCGAAAGCGUGGGGAGCAAACAGG
rnacentral:rRNA from 1 species